rnacentral:tRNA from 1 species
GUAAACAUAGUUUAAUAAAACACUAGAUUGUGAUUCUAGCGUUAGAGGUUAAACCCCUCUUGCUUACC